rnacentral:rRNA from 1 species
GAAUUUUGGACAAUGGGCGAAAGCCUGAUCCAGCAAUGCCGCGUGCAGGAUGAAGGCCUUCGGGUUGUAAACUGCUUUUGUACGGAACGAAAAGCUUUGGGUUAAUACCCUGGAGUCAUGACGGUACCGUAAGAAUAAGCACCGGCUAACUACGUUCCAGCAGCCGCGGUAAUACGUAGGGUGCAAGCGUUAAUCGGAAUUACUGGGCGUAAAGCGUGCGCAGGCGGUUUUGUAAGACAGAGGUGAAAUCCCCGGGCUCAACCUGGGAACUGCCUUUGUGACUGCAAGGCUAGAGUACGGCAGAGGGGGGUGGAAUUCCGCGUGUAGCAGUGAAAUGCGUAGAUAUGCGGAGGAACACCAGUGGCGAAGGCGACUCUCUGGUCUGUUAUUGACACUGAGGCUCGAAAGCGUGGGGAGCAAACA